rnacentral:lncRNA from 1 species
GUCCACGAGAGGACUCCAUGUUUUUCUUUCAGUCUUUGAAUGAAUACAACGUUGUCUGGUUGGAAUAUUAUCGCUACUUUACGAGAAAAAUCGCAUAAAAAUUGAUUUUAAACAGCGUUUGACAUGCUUCGAAGUACGGUAAUGGAAUAUUUUGCAUUUUUUUGUCACGAAAUGCGCUCGCGCGUCACCCUUCGGAUUGUGACCUGAACGCACGAACAAAACGGAGCUAUUUCAAUAUAACUAUGGAUUAUUUGGAACCAAAACAACAUUUGUUGUUGAAGUAUAAGUCCUGGGAGUGCAUUCUGACGAAGAACAGCAAAGGUGUACCGAGCUGCGGCUAACGAUGGUGGGCAUGGCUGUAGCUGAUUACAGAGAGGAUAUCUGUUUUGCCGUGUGAGAAGAGAAGAGAGGAGGGGGAGAGAGAGAGAGGACACUUGUUUUUUGUUUGAUUAUUUGUGUUAAUUUCCUUGUGUUUCAG